GGGAUUACAGGUAUGUGCCAGUAUGUCUGGCUUUUCUGUGGGUUCU
ensembl:miRNA predicted gene, 28022